rnacentral:rRNA from 1 species
UGGGGAAUAUUGCAUAAUGGGCGCAAGCCUGAUGCAGCCAUGCCGCGUGUAUGAAGAAGGCCUUCGGGUUGUAAAGUACUUUCAGCGAGGAGGAAGGCGGUAAGGUUAAUAACCUUAUCGAUUGACGUUACUCGCAGAAGAAGCACCGGCUAACUCCGUGCCAGCAGCCGCGGUAAUACGGAGGGUGCAAGCGUUAAUCGGAAUUACUGGGCGUAAAGCGCACGCAGGCGGUCUGUCAAGUCGGAUGUGAAAUCCCCGGGCUCAACCUGGGAACUGCAUUCGAAACUGGCAGGCUAGAGUCUUGUAGAGGGGGGUAGAAUUCCAGGUGUAGCGGUGAAAUGCGUAGAGAUCUGGAGGAAUACCGGUGGCGAAGGCGGCCCCCUGGACAAAGACUGACGCUCAGGUGCGAAAGCGUGGGGAGCAAACA